rnacentral:rRNA from 1 species
CCUACGGGGGGCAGCAGUGGGGAAUAUUGGACAAUGGGCGAAAGCCUGAUCCAGCCAUGCCGCGUGUGUGAAGAAGGCCUUCGGGUUGUAAAGCACUUUCAGUGGGGAAGAAAGCCUUGGGGCUAAUACCCUCGAGGAAGGACAUCACCCACAGAAGAAGCACCGGCUAACUCCGUGCCAGCAGCCGCGGUAAUACGGAGGGUGCGAGCGUUAAUCGGAAUUACUGGGCGUAAAGCGCGCGUAGGCGGUCUGAUAAGCCGGUUGUGAAAGCCCCGGGCUCAACCUGGGAACGGCAUCCGGAACUGUCAGGCUAGAGUGCAGGAGAGGAAGGUAGAAUUCCCGGUGUAGCGGUGAAAUGCGUAGAGAUCGGGAGGAAUACCAGUGGCGAAGGCGGCCUUCUGGACUGACACUGACGCUGAGGUGCGAAAGCGUGGGUAGCAAACAGGAUUAAUACCCGGGUAGUC